CCUACGGGGGACAGCAGUGAGGAAUAUUGGUCAAUGGGCUUACGCCUGAACCAGCCAAGUCGCGUGAGGGAAGACUGCCCUAUGGAUUGUAAACCUCUUUUGGCGGGGAGCAAUGCCGGCUACGUGUACCCGGACUGAGAGUACCCGCAGAAUAAGCAUCGGCUAACUCCGUGCCAGCAGCCGCGGUAAUACGGAGGAUGCGAGCGUUAUCCGGAUUUAUUGGGUUUAAAGGGUGCGUAGGCGGAGUGCUAAGUCAGCGGUAAAAUCGCGGGGCUCAACCUCGGCCCGCCGUUGAAACUGGCGUUGUUGAGUGGGCGAGAAGUAUGCGGAAUGCGUGGUGUAGCGGUGAAAUGCAUAGAUAUCACGCAGAACUCCGAUUGCGAAGGCAGCAUACCGGCGCCCGACUGACGCUGAGGCACGAAAGCGUGGGUAUCGAACAGGAUUAGAUACCCGAGUAGUC
rnacentral:rRNA from 1 species